rnacentral:rRNA from 1 species
UACGUAGGGGGCUAGCGUUGUCCGGAAUCAUUGGGCGUAAAGCGCGUGUAGGCGGCCAACUAAGUCGGACGUGAAAUCCCCAGGCUCAACCUGGGAACUGCGUCCGAUACUGGAUGGCUUGAAUCCGGGAGAGGGAUGCAGAAUUCCAGGUGUAGCGGUGAAAUGCGUAGAUAUCUGGAGGAACACCGGUGGCGAAGGCGGCAUCCUGGACCAACACUGACGCUGAUGAGCGAAAGCAUGGGGAGCGAACAGG